rnacentral:rRNA from 1 species
AGAGUUUGAUCCUGGCUCAGAAUCAACGCUGGCGGCGUGCCUAACACAUGCAAGUCGAACGAGAAAGUCCGCAAGGAUGAGUAAAGUGGCGACCGGGUGAGUAACACGUGACUAACCUACCUUUUAGUGGGGGAUAACCCCGGGAAACCGGGGCUAAUACCGCAUAACAUCGCAAGAUCAAAGCAGCAAUGCGCUGGAAG